GGAGGGUAUAGCUCAGUGGUAGAGCACAUGGUUAGCAUGCAUGAGGUCCUGGGUUCAAUCCCCAGUACCUCCA
rnacentral:tRNA from 1 species